GAUUAGUAGACAGAAGCUUAGGUGGAAGAUUACUAAUGAGAGUGGCGAACGGGUGAGUAACGCGUGAGCAACCUGCCUAUGACAGUGGGAUAGCCUCGGGAAACCGGGAUUAAUACCGCAUAAAAUCGUAGAAACACAUGUUUUAACGGUCAAAGAUUUAUCGGUCAUAGAUGGGCUCGCGUCUGAUUAGCUAGUUGGUGUGAUAACAGCCCACCAAGGCGACGAUCAGUAGCUGGUCUGAGAGGAUGAACGGCCACAUUGGAACUGAGACACGGUCCAAACUCCUACGGGAGGCAGCAGUGGGGAAUAUUGCACAAUGGGGGAAACCCUGAUGCAGCGACGCCGCGUGAACGUAGAAGGUAUUCGUAUCGUAAAGUUCUGUCCUAUGGGAAGAUAAUGACAGUACCAUAGAAGAAAGCUCCGGCUAAAUACGUGCCAGCAGCCGCGGUAAUACGUAUGGAGCGAGCGUUGUCCGGAAUUAUUGGGCGUAAAGGGUACGCAGGCGGUUUAAUAAGUCGAAUGUUAAAGAUCGGGGCUCAACCCCGUAAAGCAUUGGAAACUGAUAAACUUGAGUAGUGGAGAGGAAAGUGGAAUUCCUAGUGUAGUGGUGAAAUACGUAGAUAUUAGGAGGAAUACCAGUAGCGAAGGCGACUUUCUGGACACAAACUGACGCUGAGGUACGAAAGCGUGGGGAGCAAACAG
rnacentral:rRNA from 2 species